CACCUCUCAGGGUCGCACCUGGAGAGUUUCCAUUACUCUGCCAGUCUCGGCUAAUGGGGGGAGAGCCUAGAAAAGGCCUACCCAUUCCAUUCCUAGCUCGGGCAGUGACUAGUGAGUGGAAGGCCAUCUGCUACAAGU